rnacentral:rRNA from 1 species
AUUAGAUACCCUGGUAGUCCACGCCCUAAACGAUGUCUACUAGUUGUCGGGUCUUAAUUGACUUGGUAACGCAGCUAACGCGUGAAGUAGACCGCCUGGGGAGUACGGUCGCAAGAUUAAAACUCAAAGGAAUUGACGGGGACCCGCACAAGCGGUGGAUGAUGUGGAUUAAUUCGAUGCAACGCGAAAAACCUUACCUACCCUUGACAUGGAUGGAAUCCCGAAGAGAUUUGGGAGUGCUCGAAAGAGAACCAUCACCCCGGUGCUGCGUGGCUGUCGUCAGCUCGUGUCGUGAGAUGUUGGGUUAAGUCCCGCAACGAGCGCAACCCUUGUCAUUAGUUGCUACGAAAGGGCACUCUAAUGAGACUGCCGGUGACAAACCGGAGGAAGGUGGGGAUGACGUCAAGUCCUCAUGGCCCUUAUGGGUAGGGCUUCACACGUCAUACAAUGGUACAUACAGAGGGCCGCCAACCCGCGAGGGGGAGCUAAUCCCAGAAAGUGUAUCGUAGUCCGGAUUGGAGUCUGCAACUCGACUCCAUGAAGUUGGAAUCGCUAGUAAUCGCGGAUCAGCAUGUCGCGGUGAAUACGUUCCCGGGUCUUGUACACACCGCCCGUCACACCAUGGGAGCGGGUUUUACCAGAAGUGGGUAGCCUAACCGCAAGGAGGGCGCUCACCACGGUAGGAUUCGUGACUGGGGUGAAGUCGUAACAAGGUAACC